GGGUGUAGAAUCUAAUUUGCGCAAAAGAAGCAAGUACUCGUCGCUCAGGCUCAGCAAUAGUAGGCACAUCGGGCGUAGGAGAGAGAAAAACGAGGAUGGAGUCGACGGGGGAGUGGCUGGAGAAGGCGUUGAAUGAAUUGUGUAGUAAGGUCGAAAAUGCUUUAGACUUCGAUUCUGACAUGAUUUCCGGCCUCGUUUCUUACUGUCAAUUCGCUCCUCCUCUCGAUGCCAAAGAAUACCUUGAUAACAUAAUUGGCGAGGAAACAGGCAAAACUGUCAUACAGGAAUACUUGAGAAGGAGGGGUUUCUCAACAUCACCUGAAGUUGUGGCUGCUCCUACUUCUAAAUUACAGGCAUAUGUCAAGCCAAGCACAGAUAAAGGCUUGACCAGUGGAGCCAAGAAGCUAUCAAGAGUGGAGAAAGAGGUUUCAGCUUCUAAUAGCCACAAUAAUCAGGUGAAAACGGAAGCUGCGGUUUCAGGAAACAGGCAACAAAGCAGUUCUAGAAAGAAAAAGGGUGGGAAAGUUAUUUCACUUGCGGAAGCGGCCAAGGGAUCUAUUGUAUAUCAGCAAGGCAAACCAUGCUCUUGUCAGGCACGCCAACAUAGAUUAGUGAGCAACUGCUUAGCUUGCGGUAAAAUUGUAUGUGAGCAGGAAGGAGAAGGUCCAUGCAAGUUUUGUGGGGCUUUAGUGCUGAAGGAAGGAAGCACAUAUGCUGGUUUGGAGGUGGCCGCAGUACCCCUGACAGAAGACGAGGCAGCUGCAAAUGCUUAUGCCAAGAGGCUUGUCGAUUUUGAUCGCAAUGCAGCAGCACGCACGAGUGUUAUUGAUGAUCAAAGUGAUUACUAUGACGAGGGUAAUAGCUGGUUAUCAGUGGAGGAGAAGGAACUUUUGAAGAAGAAACAAGAGGAGAUUGAAGCUGCUGAGGAGGCGAAACGGAAGAGAGUAGUUGUGGCUUUUGACUUGGUUGGACGCAGGGUAUUACUGAACCAAGAUGAUGUUUCAGAAGUGGAAUCUGGACUCAGCAUUUUACGGCCAGCUGAUGAGAGAGAAGCAAGCCGAGUCAAACCAAAUCCCACCCUUCAGGUGCAGCCAAUUUUCAUUGAUCCAGGUCCUAGCGAAAAGCCUCACAAGAAUAAGCGAUCAGGUAAAGGCCUUAACAAGGGUAUGUGCUUGGAGAUCAGUGGGAGGGUGCAGCAUGAUCGCAACGAAUUCAAGCAUUUGCUGAAGGAGCAUCCUAUAUCUUCUUGAGCAAAUGAGCACCCAUGAGGUGAGGGCAAUCUUGGAGUGGUGUCGCAUGGAUGGGACAUGGGAGAAAAGAUGCUGAAUGCUUGGCCGCAUACUAAGAGCUUUCAGCAUCUCUGAGGGAUUUGGAUCUUGAUCUUCAUCCUACCAUUUACCGGUAAUUUCCCUUCAAUCAAAGAGGGUUAGUUUUGUUAUUUUGAUUUUGGAGUGGCCCCCUUUAUCUGCCUUGACUCCUAAAAUCCAAGAGUAAGAGAUUAUGGAGCUUGGUUUGGUUGGAUCGUGCAUGGUUGGAGCUCACUUUCUUUCAUGAAGGAUCGCGUAGCCUAUUAGAUUCACAGUUGCCUAUCUUAGUAUAGCUGCUUGGGUUACAAACGUGAGGAGUAGAUGAUGACAUGACCCUCAGACCUUGUGCCUGGGGAUUGGGGUUGAUAUCACUGUAACAAACCUUGCCUCUCGCAUGAACAAUAACUGAAUUGUCAUUAUUCCGAAUACUGACCCUUGGGGAGUGUUAUAACAUUAUAUCUUAUAUGUAACGAAAUUCGACUCA